AGGAGCCAUUGGAGCCCAGUGCUUAUCAUAACUAAUAGGAGCUAACCACCAGACUGGCUCGCUUUAGAGACUAUUACAUCAAAUUUUAUUUUUCAUAAUACAGAGGAGAAGGAGCCAACGGCAACACAGAUUUUUAACUGCAACAUGAAAAACAUGGAUUUUAAAAUCCUCAUCAUCUUCCUCUUCUGUGUUAUACAUCUUUCAAUUCACUGCCAAGGACGUCCCCUAAGUAAAAGGACAGUGAGUGAAGUGCAGCUGAUGCACAACCUGAGACACCAUCAGCAGGUGCAGGAGCGCCGGGAGUGGCUGCAAACCAGGAUCCAGGACAUCCACAAUGCUGCAGGCCAGGCCAGCAACGCAGACACGGCAAACU